rnacentral:rRNA from 1 species
UACGAAAGGGGCAAGCGUUGUUCGGAUUUACUGGGCGUAAAGGGCACGCAGGCGGUCUUGCCAGUCAGGGGUGAAAGCACGGGGCUCAACCCCGGAACUGCCUCUGAUACUGCAGGACUAGAGACUAGGAGAGGGUGGUGGAAUUCCCAGUGUAGAGGUGAAAUUCGUAGAUAUUGGGAGGAACACCAGAGGCGAAGGCGGCCACCUGGACUAGAUCUGACGCUCAGGUGCGAAAGCGUGGGGAGCAAACAGG